GCGGGGGCGGGGCGGGGCCGUUCCCGCGCGGGCUCAGUGCGCAGGCGCGGUGGCGGCGCGGCGGUGACGGUGACACUGACGGAGGACAAACUAAGAAAUGGCAGAAGCAGUUUUUCACCCCCCAAGAAGGAAAAGAAGAGUUUUUGAGUCCUACGAGGCUCCCUUUCCCGUGGAUGUAGGGGGGAAGGAUUUCAGGCUGUGCCAGGCUGAGAUCAUUAACAACAAUGUGAUUGUGAGGAACCCCGAGGAUAUUGAACAGCUCUACAACAAGGGCUAUUUUGGAAAAGGGAUCCUUUCCAGGAGCCGGCCAGUGUUCAGCAUCUCAGAUCCUGUGCUGGUGGCCAAGUGGAGAGGUAUUAACACAAACUUGCCCAUAAUUACAUCUCAAAAGUACCAGCGCCGCGUGCAGUGGGCGAAAAGCGUCCUGCAGGAGCAGGGCCUCGACGACUGCUCCGUCACCAAGAUCCUGGAGAGCUACACCAGACCCCAGGGGCUGCCCUUCUCCAGAGGGGAUGGGGCUCAGCAGACCGGGGACAGCUGCACCCAAGGGUGCCCAGGGCCAGGAAAUGCAGAACUGAGCAGGGAAUGUGCUGGCAGUGAGGGAGCCCAGAGUCCCCAGGGUCAGAACGGGGGCUCCCAGCACGGAGGGGAUGCAGCCCUGGGUCCUGGGAGUGGCUCCAGGCUCCAGGAGCAGGGGGAUUCCAGGGAAGGGGCUGAAGGGUCCUGCCACGGGGACCCUGCUGUGCUCUGCCCUGAGCAGAGGGCUUGGGAGGCGUUGGACUCAAGGGAAUGUGCUCCAGAAUAUGUGCUGGUGCAAGAGGAGGAAGAAGAAGGAAGCUCCUGUCCUGAAGAUGACUCCAGUCAGGCACAAGAGAAUCUUGUCAAGAAGGAAGUGUUAGUAUGCAGAAAAAACCCAUUUAGGAUUUUUGAGUACUUACAACUCAGCUUGGAGGAGGCUUUUUUCCUGGUGUAUGCUCUGGGAUGUUUAAGUAUUUAUUACGGGGAGGAGCCCCUGAGCAUCGUGAAGCUGUGGGAGGUGUUCAGUGAGGUGAAGCCUGAUUUCAGAACCACCUACAUGGCCUACCACUACUUCAGGGGCAAGGGCUGGGUGCCCAAGGUGGGGCUGAAGUACGGCACGGAUCUCUUGCUGUAUCGAAAGGGGCCCCCCUUCUACCAUGCCAGUUACUCUGUCAUUGCUGAGCUGGUGGAUGAUAAUUUUGAGGGUUCCCUUCGCAGACCCCUCAGCUGGAUGUCCCUGUCUGGGCUGAACAGAACAACUGCAAAUGCAUCCAAGGAGCUCAUGCUGUGCUAUUUGAUCAGACCUUCUGACAUGACUGCAGAGGAGAUGGCAACCCCAGAGUGCAUGAAGAGAAUCAAGGUUCAGGAGCUGAUUGUGACUCGUUGGGUUUCCUCCCGUGAGCGCAGUGAGCAGGAUGAAUUUUAACUGCACAGGAAAACCUCACUCUUUAAAAACCACUCCUUGUUGGUUUUUACCUGAUCUCCUGAUGAACUGUUGCCUCAGGAGAUUUUUUACCAACACAUUCACUUGUUCCAUUCCUUCAGUGACAGGCAGGCAGGCUCUGUGCUGCAGCUGCUCUCACUGAGGGACAAUCCCAGGAUUGGUGUUUUCCUGGAGAGCUGCUCUGUCACCACACGAGCUGGAAAUCAGCCUGGCUGCCAUUUCUCACCACUGACAUCAAAAACAGCAGCUGGGCAAGAAUGCCAUCACUGUGCUCGGCCUUUAAAUACAAAUACACCUCAAAGUGCUGAACAGUAAUGAUGGAAUUGUGCCAGGACCUCUGUGCUCAGCAGCAUGCAGGUCACGUUUCACUGAACUGGGGCUUUAAUGCAGAAUUCCCUAAAGCCACCUCUUGCUUUAGAGCUUUAAUGUUCCAGCAGCCAAGUUUUACUUAAAAUCCAGAACACUCUGUGCAGGCAGGCCAGGCUGAGGCUGCUCCAGGCUGAGCUACCAGGAAUCCUGAGGGACAGCAGGCUCUGAGUGACCCCCAGAGCUCACCCAAACCCCCCCAAG